GUUGUUUUGGUAACACUAGUGAAUUUGAACAGGAAGUUAAUGUAUUAUAAAAUUAUAAUUUGUUUCCAUUAUGUGGAACCUUGUCAGUAAACUGCCAACACCAUCACUAGGACGAGGACUACGCCUGCCAGAGACGCUGCUACCAUCCCUAUGAUCUCUGGGUAAAACAGAGGAAACAGAGACAGAACAACAUAUAAGCAUGAAGGAGAGGCCUCAGUGUCUCUAUGUGUGUGUCCGUCCAGAGUCCAGCUGUACUGAGGACCGUCCCCCUCAGAGGAGCAGGACACCCUCAUCUCUCCAUGGGUCAGACACUGAGAGGACAGCUGAGGAGAGGACACUGGGGCUGUGGAGGAAGAAGAAUCGACAUCUGAAGACAUCUGCAGACUUUCGCACAAACAAAUGAGAAAACAACACUUCUUCUUCUUCUUCUUCUUCUUC
ensembl:lncRNA